rnacentral:rRNA from 1 species
UACCAGCACCCCGAGUGGUCGGGACGUGUAUUGGGCCUAAAGCAUCCGUAGCCGGUUCUACGAGUCUUCCGUUAAAUCCAACUGCUUAACAGGUGGGCUGCGGAAGAUACUAUAGAGCUAGGAGGCGGGAGAGGCAAGCGGUACUCGAUGGGUAGGGGUAAAAUCCGUUGAUCCAUUGAAGACCACCAGUGGCGAAGGCGGCUUGCCAGAACGCGCUCGACGGUGAGGGAUGAAAGCUGGGGGAGCAAACCGG